rnacentral:lncRNA from 1 species
CGAUCUUCUCAUUUUUCCCAAGUACCCAUCUCUGCAUGCCUCCCUCUUCCCCUUUCCAGUUGCCAAAGCAGCUGAGUGGGAAGCAAAUCUGGAGCAGCAGGAACAGGACCAGGGAUCUGUAGAAGAGAUCUUCACAGUUCACUCGAAAAAAAUAGCAGAGGGGAAGAAAAAAGCCCUGAAACCAUUUACAUCAUUUCUGUGAGAUUGCCAACCGCCUCAACGGAGAGGCUUUCUUUUCUAAGAGUUCAUUUUCUUGAAAUACGACAAGGCAGGGGCAAAAUAAAGAGGGCGAUGAAGAUAAUGACAAAGCAUAAACCUUCUUUCCCUUGGAGCGACUUCCGAAUCAGCCGGAAGGACAACUUUUAGAAAGAAACAUCGGAUACAAGGGCCCCGAACACGCAGGCGGAGGAGAAUCCGCGGUGCAGAAAAAGAGGGCCUCGGUGGCCGGGCAGGGAUGAAGCCGGA